AACGAACGCUGGCGGCGUGCCUAACACAUGCAAGUCGAACGUGAUUGGAAGCUUGCUUCCAUGAAAGUGGCGCACGGGUGAGUAACGCGUAGAUAAUCUACCUGGUGAUCCGGGAUAACAGUUCGAAAGGACUGCUAAUACCUGAUAAGCCCACGGAGUCCUUGGACUCUGCGGGAAAAGGGGGGGACCGUAAGGCCUUCCGUCAUCAGAUGAGUCUGCGUACCAUUAGCUAGUUGGUAGGGUAAAGGCCUACCAAGGCGAAGAUGGUUAGCUGGGAUGAGAGGGUGAUCAGCCAAACUGGGACUGAGGCACGGUCGAGACUCCUCAGGGAGGCAGCAGGGGGGAGUUUUGCGCAAUGGGGGAGAGCCUGACGCAGCAACGCCAGGUGAGUGAUGAAGGCCCUUGGGUCGGAAAGCUCUGACAGAGGGAAAGAAAUGUAGAGUGGCUAAUAUCCACAUUACUUGACGGUACCCUCAAAGGAAGCACCGGCUAACUCCGUGCCAGCCGCCGCCGUAAUAC
rnacentral:rRNA from 1 species